AACGCACCUUGCGCUCCUUGGUAUUCCGAGGAGCAUGCCUGUUUGAGUGUCAUUAAAUUCUCAAUCUUAACAACUUUGUGUUGUCUAGAUUGGAAGUGGGGGUCUUUUGUGUGGAAUCCAAUUCCUCACUCCCCUUAAAUGUAUUAGCUGGAAUGCCUCUGCAUAUCUGACUAUCAGUGUGAUAAUUAUCUAUGCUGUAGUUGUUGCAUGAGGGUAUCUGCUUCAUCAAUCGUCGCAAGACAACUAUUGACCAUCUUGACCUCAAAUCAGGUAGGACUACCCGCUGAACUUAA
rnacentral:misc_RNA from 1 species